CUGGCUCAGGACGAACGCUGGCGGCGUGCUUAACACAUGCAAGUCGAGCGAUGAAGUUCCUUCGGGAAAUGGAUUAGCGGCGGACGGGUGAGUAACACGUGGGUGACCUGCCUCAUAGAGGGGAAUAGCCUUUCGAAAGGAAGAUUAAUACCGCAUAAGAUUGUAAUGUCGCAUGACAUAGCAAUUAAAGGAGUAAUCCGCUAUGAGAUGGACCCGCGUCGCAUUAGCUAGUUGGUGAGGUAACGGCUCACCAAGGCGACGAUGCGUAGCCGACCUGAGAGGGUGAUCGGCCACAUUGGACUGAGACACGGCCCAGACUCCUACGGGAGGCAGCAGUGGGGAAUAUUGCACAAUGGGGGAAACCCUGAUGCAGCAACGCCGCGUGAGUGAUGAAGGUCUUCGGAUUGUAAAGCUCUGUCUUUAGGGACGAUAAUGACGGUACCUAAGGAGGAAGCCACGGCUAACUACGUGCCAGCCGCGGC
rnacentral:rRNA from 1 species